rnacentral:rRNA from 1 species
AGCGAACACUGGCGGCAGGCUUAACACAUGCAAGUCGAGCGGGCAUCCUUGUGGUGUCAGCGGCAGACGGGUGAGUAACGCGUGGGAACGUGCCCUUCGGUUCGGAAUAACUCAGGGAAACUUGAGCUAAUACCGGAUACGUGCGAGAGCAGAAAGGUUUAUCUGCCGAAGGAUCGGCCCGCGUCUGAUUAGCUAGUUGGUGAGGUUAUGGCUCACCAAGGCGACGAUCAGUAGCUGGUCUGAGAGGAUGAUCAGCCACACUGGGACUGAGACACGGCCCAGACUCCUACGGGAGGCAGCAGUGGGGAAUAUUGGACAAUGGGGGCAACCCUGAUCCAGCCAUGCCGCGUGAGUGAUGACGGCCUUAGGGUUGUAAAGCUCUUUUCUCCGGGACGAUAAUGACGGUACCGGAGGAAUAAGCCCCGGCUAACUUCGUG